rnacentral:lncRNA from 1 species
CCUAUAUCCAUGACCCGUGACCCUAUAUCCAUGACCCUACAGCCCAAUGACCCCAUGGCGCCAUGACCCUAUAUCCCAAUGACCCUAUGACCCUACAGCCCAAUGGCCCCAUGACCCUAUAUCCAUGGCCCUACAGCCCCAUGGCCCCAUGGCCCUAUAUCCCAAUGACCCCAUGACCCUACAGCCCCAUGGCCCUAUAACCCAAUGGCCCCAUGACCCCAUGGCCCUACAGCCCCAUGGCCUCCAUAUCCCAAUGACGCAAUGACCCCAUGGCCCUAUAUCCCAACGACCCCAUGACCCUAUAUCCAUGGUCCUACAGCCCCAUGGCCCGACAGCCCCACGGCCCCGUGUCCUGAUGACCCCAUGAGUUGCGCACGUGCACGUCCUGCGGCAGCGCCUGCCCCUCCUUCGUCCACGUCACCCGCGGACGGGGCUUCCCCUGGGGGGGUCCACAGCGCCUCAGCACCCCAAAAGGGCCCAAGGCACCGCGGCCCUAUAGCCAUGGCCCUACAGCCCCGUGGCACCGUGACCCUACAGCCCCGUGACCCUAUAUCCAUGACCCGUGACCCUAUAUCCAUGGCCCUACAGCCCCACGGCCCCGUGUCCUGA